rnacentral:rRNA from 1 species
GAUGAACGCUAGCGGCAGGCCUAAUACAUGCAAGUCGGACGGGAUUGUGGUGCUUGCAUCACAUGAGAGUGGCGCACGGGUGCGUAACACGUAUGUAACCUACCCUUAUCAGGGGGAUAGCCUCUCGAAAGAGAGAUUAAGCCCGCAUAAAAUCACACUGCAGCAUUGUGGAAUGAUCAAAUAUUUAUAGGAUAAGGAUGGGCANGCGGAACAUUAGCUAGUUGGUAAGGUAACGGGCUUACCAAGGCGACGAUGUUUAGGGGAUCUGAGA